rnacentral:lncRNA from 1 species
CCCUAACAACUCUAAGUGUGCCUCCGCAGUCCCUCGAAGGAAAAAAAAUGAUGUGAGGUGGCAGGUAUCCACCCUCACCUAUAAAAUCCGAACUCUCCAAAACUUUUUAGGUAAGUGAAAAACUUGCUCUUAUGUGACCCCUUCCGGAGACUGACUCCAUAUGAAUUGGAGGGAAUUGGCUGCCCUCUUCUCUUCGCUCCAGAGGUGGAUGUUCCUCGAUUGAUUGAAUCGGAGACCCACGGUUCCAUUCUUCAAUCCGGGCUGGGACCUACAGCAGCUAACGCCACCUCCUCCCACUCGCCUUCUGGUGCGUGCGGACUUCCCCAUCCCUCUG